rnacentral:rRNA from 1 species
GACGAACGCUGGCGGCGUGCUUAACACAUGCAAGUCGAACGAAGUGGCGAACGGGUGAGUAACGCGUAAUCAACCUGCCCUUCAGAGGGGGACAACAGUUGGAAACGACUGCUAAUACCGUAUAAUGAAGGAGGGGAUUUCGUCUGAUUAGCUAGUUGGCGGGUUAACGGCCCACCAAGGCGAUGAUCAGUAGCCGGGCUGAGAGGAUGACCGGCCACAUUGGGACUGAUACACGGCCCAGACUCCUACGGGAGGCAGCAGUGGGGAAUCUUCCGCAAUGGACGAAAGUCUGACGGCGCAACGCCGCGUGAGUGAUGACGGCCUUCGGGUUGUAAAGCUCUGUUAAUCGGGACGCGGUACCGGAAUAGAAAGCCACGGCUAACUACGUGCCAGCAGCCGCGGUAAUUC